rnacentral:sRNA from 1 species
AUAUUUCUUUACCUCAUGCAGAAUCUUAGAGCUCUGGCUUUGUGGCCCCAUGGCUGGGGGAGGGAGUGGAGAUGGAGGAACUUGUCACUGCUCCAUGCCCCAUUGUUGAAAUGGAAAAUGUGGAAAUGUUAAGCCAUUUCUAGAGGAUUGUGGAAGGGGGAGUUAACUGUGAAGGCACUUAAUCUCCUCAUUGAGGAACGCCGGACUUUGUUUCCAAUGGAGGAAUUUCUGGCAUCAGAGAGCAGAUAGGGCAGAGGUGCUUUCUUCUGCUGCUCCUCAAGGCUCACAGCUUGCUAUGGAAGCAUCCUUGGAGGACAUCUCCUUCCCUGGCCUUUCCAUCAACGUUGGUUAAUCCAAUCUCCACCUUUUCUUACGAGAUUGACAUGGUGAGUGAGGAAGCCAAGGACAUUGCAUCCACAUCUUAAACUUAAUCUCAGUACAUGAAAGGGGCUGCUUUGGAAAUAGAGAUUCAUGAAACAGGGAAAUCCCGUGGCCAGGAAACCCCUCGCUCUUCCCCACCCCACCCUGUGAGGAGUGUCUCCACUAGGAAGGAAAUUAAAUCAGUCUUCCAGCCACCAGAAUUGAAUUGGGAUGGAC